rnacentral:rRNA from 1 species
UGCAAGUCGAGCGGUAACAGAAAGUAGCUUGCUACUUUGCUGACGAGCGGCGGACGGGUGAGUAAUGCUUGGGAACAUGCCUUGAGGUGGGGGACAACAGUUGGAAACGACUGCUAAUACCGCAUAAUGUCUACGGACCAAAGGGGGCUUCGGCUCUCGCCUUUAGAUUGGCCCAAGUGGGAUUAGCUAGUUGGUGAGGUAAUGGCUCACCAAGGCGACGAUCCCUAGCUGGUUUGAGAGGAUGAUCAGCCACACUGGGACUGAGACACGGCCCAGACUCCUACGGGAGGCAGCAGUGGGGAAUAUUGCACAAUGGGCGCAAGCCUGAUGCAGCCAUGCCGCGUGUGUGAAGAAGGCCUUCGGGUUGUAAAGCACUUUCAGUCAGGAGGAAAGGUUAGUAGUUAAUACCUGCUAGCUGUGACGUUACUGACAGAAGAAGCACCGGCUAACUCCGUGCCAGCAGCCGCGGUAAUACGGAGGGUGCGAGCGUUAAUCGGAAUUACUGGGCGUAAAGCGUACGCAGGCGGUUUGUUAAGCGAGAUGUGAAAGCCCCGGGCUCAACCUGGGAACUGCAUUUCGAACUGGCAAACUAGAGUGUGAUAGAGGGUGGUAGAAUUUCAGGUGUAGCGGUGAAAUGCGUAGAGAUCUGAAGGAAUACCGAUGGCGAAGGCAGCCACCUGGGUCAACACUGACGCUCAUGUACGAAAGCGUGGGGAG